AUGAAUCACGGGGACCCUGGACACCGCUGUAGGUGUUCCCAUGGACCGCGGUGUGCCGGUGCGCCGCCCCAGGAAGGCCUCGCGGCGGCGGCCCUGGACACCCGUGUGCGGCCCCUCCCCAUGGGCGCCGAGGCGGAGUCCAUGCUGCGGCAGAUCGGCGCGUACACGCCCAACCUCGACGGGCACACGGUGACCCUCCUCUCCUGCGUCCACUCCGUCCUCCCUCCUCCGCCCCUCGUCUCCAACCACGCCGCCCUCUCCGCCCUCCUCCCCCCGCGCCAGGACGGCGGCGACGACCGCAUCAGCGACCUCCCCGACAAGCUCCUCCGCGACAUCGUCUCCCGCCUCCCCGUUAAGGACGGCGCGCGCACCGCCGCUCUCUCCUGCCGCUGGCGCGACGUCUGGCGCUCCGUGCCGCUCGUCCUCGUCGACUCCGACCUCCUCCCCGUCCGAACAGGUUCGGGCCUGCAGGUCGCGCACGCGGACGCGCAGCGCGUCGCCUCCGCCGUCACCCGCAUCCUCGAAGCUCACCCGGGCCCCUUCCGCUGCGUCCACCUCAUCUGCAGCUUCCUGGACAAGUGCCCGGACCUGCUCGCGCGGUGGCUCCAGCUCCUCGCCGUCAAGGGCGUCCAGGAACUCGUCCUCGUCAACCGCCCGUGGCCGCUCAACAUGCCCAUCCCUCCCACCUUCUUCGCCAUGACCCUCACCCGCCUGUACCUUGGCGUCUUCGAGUUCCCUGACACGAGGAUCCUCCCGCGCGCCGCGUCAUUCCCACACCUCCGCGAACUCGGCCUCUGCUGCGUGCAGAUCCUGAGGAGGGAGGACAUGGACUUCAUCCUCGCCAGGAGCCCUGUGCUGGAAAUCCUAUGCAUCCAAGUGAACAUGCUGAUGAAACACCUGAUCCUCGUCAGCCGCAGCCUCCGUUGCGUGCAGAUCAUCGAAAGCAUUGAUCUGAGCAUCGCACUGAAAGACGCUCCGAACCUCGAAAGGCUCAUCAUCUGGGCAGCAACGGUCCGCGAUGGCGUGCCCAGGAGUGUCAAGAUUGACCAUGCCCCUGCACUAAGCUUACUUGGCUAUCUGGACCCGGAACGGCACAGCCUAGAAAUCGGCAACACCGUCAUCAAGGCUGGGACAACGGCGAGUCCGAGCACAAUGGUCCCAAGCGUCAAGAUCCUCGGCAUAAGAGUGUGCUUCGGAGUCCGCAACAUUGCUAAGAUGCUGCCCUGCUUCCUCAGAUGCUUUCCCAACGUCGAGAGGCUGCAUCUUGUGGUGACACCACUACCACUUACGUUGGCAUCAAUUUCCAUGUUUGUGCACUUGCAAUCAUCAAUUUAUAUUGCUAACAAUAAUGCUUCCAUUUAG
rnacentral:rRNA from 1 species